GCUGUUACCCAGAGCUGUCUCAGAGGAUAGAAUGCAAAAGUUCUGAACGUUUCCAGGCAUCUGCCCAUGUAAGAGGAGCAUAAAAUCCAGUGGAAUUAUGACAUCAAAAAUGAAUUUUCUAGCUUGAGGAAGAGACACAGAGCAUCUUGGAGUACGUGACAUGAUGCUAGGUACAUGUGUCUCUCCAUUCUGUUAUCCCAAAGCAGCUCCUUUAUGCAGCCACAUUAGACAGAGGAUGAGCCUUCUAAAGGGAAAAGUAUCCUAAGGACCCGUGGUUGUGUUCUCUGAGGAAUCAACGGUACCGAGCUGCGCUUGAGGAGAGGAUGGGGCUUUGGAUCUCCCCUUUUGGGUUCUUAAAUACUGGUGCUUCAUACACAGCAGAGAAAGAGGAGGAGGUCAAGGACAAGGAUGAAGAGGAGGAGGAAGCUCUGCAUUUCUUAGGAUCUGGGCAUAGCAGUGGAUGAGGAUGCUAAAGGGAAUCAAGAGACCCAAGAUAUUGGCAGCAAACUGAGUUGUAACCUUCCAGAUAUUGUUGCCAGGGGGAUACACAGGGACACACUGCACAGACUGCUCAAUUUCCAGCUGCUGGUUGAACACGAUGUUGGGUACAGAAGCCAAGCCAGCCACCAGCCACAGGACUAAGCUGAUCAUUGUGCCACAAGAGGCCGUCCGUAUCUUCAUGGCAUAGACAGCGUGGACAAUUGCUAUGUACCUGUCAAUACUCAUCAGAGUUAUAAAGAAAAUACUGCUGUAAAAACCCGUGUAAUAAAUGCCAGCCAUUAUCUUGCACAAUGCAUUGCCAAAAACCCACUGAUCCGAAGCAUAGUAUGCUUGGAAAGGGAGAGGCACAAUGAAGAGGAGAUCGGAGGCUGCAAGGUUCAGCAGGCAGAUAUCAGUCAUCGUCAUCAGCCUCUUUCUGGUCAGGAGGAUCCAGAGGACCAAGGAGUUUCCCAGAAGGCAGAAGACAAACACGAGGCAGUAAAGGAUUGGCAGGAAGAGAGAUUUAAACCUGGGAAAGCUGUUUCCUUCAUUGCAAGGAGCAGUGUUUUCAUCAUAUCCAUAGUCAUACUCUGUUGUGCUUAGGAACAGGUCUGUGGGAUUCAUCUUGGAUUCCUGUGAAGGAAAGAACCAAAGGUAAAGGGCCCGGGUAUGUCUCCCUGUUGGCUUCUUCCUCUGUUCCAUAUUGAGCCUGUGAGUCAGCCUCUGGGCAGAGAGGGACUGCAAAAUGUACUCCUAAUCUAAAGGUUUGGAUUUUCUCGUACUCCCUUGGGUGAGGAAAUGUUUUGCCCAUAGCAUGAAGAACCUUAUAAAAGUCAGCCAACGGAAGGAGACAUCACCCAGCAGCAUGUCCGUGUUCCUAACUGAGCUGCUCAGGGCCAGGCAACAGCACGUAGGCUAGUUUGCCAUGAGUGGGUUCAGGAACACCUGUAAGAAACAGGCAACAACGUGUUGUGUUGUUGUGUUGUGUUGUGUUGUGCAGUGUUGAGCCCAGGGCUGCUGUGGCCAGGCUGCCAUCAGGGUGGGCUGACUGUGCCUGCUGGUAGAGCAAGAGGUUUGUUGCUCCGUCUUCUUUUGCCAAGCAUCAGUUUUCAAGGUUAUAGAAAACCAGCACAAUUUGGGGAGGAGGAAGGGAGCUUCCUCACUUUGUCAUUUCUGAAGAAUUACAGUGAAUACAGCUUUUAAGUAGUUUGAGGUUCUUUCCAAAAGUGAGUCAGCGCUCUUUUUUGUUUUUUUCAGACACCACUUCAUGACCACCAUAAAAAGGGAUCUGGUUGGCAGAGCAAAGUGUUUGCAUUUUGAGAAGUAAGGUUCUUUCAAAAGACAGUGUUUUGGAUGAGUUUGGCUUGUUUUGUCCCUGCUAGGAUAUUUACAUGUUUGUUGUGCCCCUCGCCUGUGUUGUGCUCUCGUGCCGGUUGAUCCUACCUCGAAAAAGCUUGAAACAGACUGAUGGAGAGAAGCAUCACAUGUAAUAAUCAUUAUCAUAAUGCAGCAGUAAUAAUGCAAAUGACAGCAAUUAAUUCAUGAAUUGCAGUGCAGGUGGUGCAGGGAAGUGGGAGCACCCACACGUGUGGCACAGUGGGGGCUGCAGUCGGAACUCUCCCUGUGCCCCAGGCACAGUGCUGCUGGUGCCUCUCAGACCUGCCCCAGCUGCUUUCAGGCACCAGGCCUCUAUCAGACAAAGUUAAUCAGUACGUGCAGCGUGGAGAAACUUCUUACAAAUACAUCCCUCAACCCUGCACAGCUUGUUGCUCAGGAAUGUCCAAGCAAUGAGAGAAAGCAGGGCUACAAUCUGCCUUGGCAGUAUAAUUCUUUCCCGCAUUCAGCUUUCAGGUAGGGAACCUGUAUUAUUAAUUUCAGGUUGGUUUUCACACAUAUAUAUUGUGAUAUUGAGUCAUUAGAUAAUGUCUGUUUAUGGCAUUUUGAGAAAAUAUUUACUGCUAAUGUUUUUCAUCUCGUGUGCAACCCUGACACGCUGUGGCUGUGAACAGUCCAGCAGUGGUUCAUGCUUCUUAGCUACCCUUCAGGGACACACUGAGAGCAGACCAUAGCUUCAGCAACUCAAACUCAGAAAUUAUCAAAAUGUAAUGAAAUAUCAAGUUGAGGGUAUAUACGUAUGCAGGCAUAUAAAGAUACGUAGAUAAGAUACUUCUGAUAUGCAGAUAGGUAGAUAGAUAGAUAGACAGAUAGGUAGAUAGAUAGGAUACACCUGACUUAGGCAACAUUCACAAGUGAUUCUGCUGGGCUGAACAGAGCCUGGAGGUGCUUCACCUCAGACUUCACACUGCCUUCCCAUGGCCAACACCUCUGUACGUUCCCAAUCAAGGAACAACACUUCCCACUUUCUCCCCUCUCGCUAUUAGUUGGCCAAAGAAAUCAAGCCCCAAAAGCAGUUUUACAAAGGGCAUCAAGAGAGGCCUUGGUUAUCAAAGCUCACCCGUUACUUUCAAGAGCAGCAGGUUAAAAGUGUAUGGGCUCUACCUUGGGCAGCAAGAAGCCUUCAGGCUCUCAGGCGGCACUGCUCCCUUCUUCUUCUGUCCUUGUCCUCUCUCAGACUCACGAGUUCUCAGAAGAUUUAUUCUACUGCUGAUGGGGAGGGAUGAGAUUUGGUGAUAGUGGGUGCUGGAUGGGCAGCUGCCAGUUACAGAAAAGGUUUUGAGACAAAGUGAAGGGCUUGAAGCUGUGGUAAACAGGAAAAGGUGAGAGGGCUCAAAAAGACACGCUGCAAAACAAAAAUCAAAUACGGCUCUUUUUGAAGGCAGUAAAGGUGUCACAGUAAGAGGUGCUCCCUUUAGCAGAACUUUUCCGAUCUCCCCUUCCUCGCAGCCACCCCUAAUUUAAGCAAAAAGUUGCCAACUGGAGGUAUGUCCACAUGAUCGUGUCUCCGUUACGGGAUCGCUGGACACACCAAAGUGCUGGACGCUCACAAAUUUGCAUAGAUCCAUUAAACUCAGUAAUUCUGCAGCUUCUUACAGAAACAGAAAAGUGACUUCCGAGAAGCAUAUUUUAGGUUUUUUUGUUUCAUUCUGCUAAUACCAACCUGCAUGCUGCAGCCUGAUUAAGUCCCUUCCUCUUGGUAGCAUACAACCUCUGAGCAAAAUGAGAACUCACAGUUACCUCUUCAUCUUUGCAAUCAUCUUUCAAGCAUCCUGUGUUCAACUGGGGACGUGUUAGUUUCUUUGCUCCCCUGGGAUUUCUUGAGGUGUAUUUUGGUUCAUUUGGGACACAUGGUCAGAGACAAAAUGGUGGAACAAGGGCAGGCUUGGCAAUUUUUAGUUUACACAAUCACUUGAAAUCAUUUUAUGUUUUAUGAAAAACUGUAAAUUACAGUAGUGCUCUGUAAGGCAGCCGAAUGAUACACUUUUCAUCCAUUAAUCUCAGCAAUUUUCCUCACUUAAAGAGAACUCAAAAGAUUUGCCUGGAGCCCCAAAGAAGUAUGUGGCAGAUCCAGAGCAUGACUGUCAUUAACGUUGUAACCCAUUCUUCAGCAGCGCCCAGCGGCUUCUGCCCCACAUAGCCUUCCAGUGUGUAUAAACUGUUGUGUAAACACGCAAUGAAGGGCAGUCUCAAACAGCGGAAUUAAAUUCUGCAGACAGAUGAAGUAAAAGUGAGAAAGUAGGCUGGGAGAUGAGGCUCCCUGGGCAGCCUAACAGAGGACCCGGUGCAGUCAAGAGUGUGAUCACAAGGACCAGAGUUGUUCCAUGAGGUCUUCACAGCACUGCUGACUACAUGACAUUUGCCAGCCUCCGUUCUACAUGCUCAAAAAAGUGUCGUGACAUGGGACAGCAGGGAAAUGUCAGAAGAGAUGGUGCUUGUACAUUAUAGAGGGGAAGAGGUCCAGGACCUUGAAGGCAAGGAAAAGAGCUUCAUUGAACAUGGAAAAAGAUAAACUGCAAGUGAAGGGGCCUGUCAGCUGCAGUGGCAGAAGGACAGCUUUAGGCAAGCCAGAGAGGACUGCACUGGCAAGGGUAGUGAUCAUCUGGUAAUGGGGAGAGGGUAUGUGGGGGAUCUUUCAAGAGCCACUAGAAAGCUUGGAAGAGGGUAUCUGGGGGGAGAUGGGAAAGAUGUGUUUCCAAUACAGCCCGUAUCAUCCCAGAUAAUUUUUCAGCAUUUGAGUGGUGUUGGCCAUGCUGGCAAACAGGAUUUUCCUACCCAACUGAUGAACAGCCCUUUGAAGUUCAUCUGAGGAGGAUAGGAAAGCAGAAAGUGCAGUAAAUGAGUAGAAGCAGUAAGAUAAGUAAGAUGUCAGGUUGGAUAUUUGGAAAAAAUUCUUCUAGGAAAGAGUGGUGAGGCAGUGGCACAGGCUGUCCAGGGAGAUGGUGCAGUCACCAUCCCUGGAGGUGUUCAAGUGUGUGGAUGUGGC